GUUUGUACAUGUAGAUCUACCAGCACGUAAUCAUGGUAAUCGUUGUAGAGGAUCGGCGGUACCGACUUGCAGAACAUCUCGCGCAGAGUUUGAUAGGUCAUGUUGCGUGAUGGUGGCGAGCAUUGCCCUAGUAUUGCCGGUCCUCAGCCAGACUAGCGUUGCAUCCUGAGCGCAUAGCGCGCGUUUCCUAAGCGACGCUAGUAGAAUCUACACAGUCUUACUGUUUUCCUCUGAGUGAGAACUACUCUACAAAUUUUGUAGAGUACCGUCAGAACCAGUGGUGCGCGGCGCGCAAAGUCCGCAAUUUACUUGCUUAUGAAGGGAUGCAGAAGUUCACAAUUUCUUCCUCCAAAUGCCACAUCUGUUGAAGGGGAGAGGUUUCUCGCCCGCCUACUGAUUUAUCAACGUGGACUUGGGAUAAAGGAAUUCACGAUGGUCACUGUCCAAGUUGCAGGUGUGAAUAGUCGGAAAGGAAUUCACGAUGGUCACUGUCCAAGUUGCAGGUGUGAAUAGUCGGAAAGGAAUUCACGGUGGUCACUGUCCAAGUUGCAGGUGUGAAUAGUCGGAAUUAGCAAUGGUCACUGUCAAAGUUGCAGGUGUGAAUAGUCGGAAAGGAAUUUACGAUGGUCACUGUCCAAGUUGCAGGUGCGAAUAGUCGGAAAGGAAUUCACGGUGGUCAAUGUACAUGUUGCAGCUGUGAAUAGUAGGAAAGGAAUUCACAAUAGUCACUGUCCAAGUUGCAGGUGUGAAUAGUGGGAAAGGAAUUCACGGUGGUCACUGUCCAUGUUGCAGCUGUGAAUAGUCGGAAAGGAAAUCACGAUGGUCACUGUCCAUGUUGCAGCGGCACACUUUGGCCAUGGCACAUUCUAGUAUAUCUACAUGGACAGCAGUCACAGCACCAUGAUGCCGGAGUUCAGGGAUUGUCCAAAUCACUCGUUAUAUCAAACUAAUUAUUUGUCAUACCCUCAGUCUAAGGAAUAUCUCAGUAAUGAUAUUGAUUUUCAACGUCUUUCUAGAUUUACCCUGCAAUCCAUCUCAAAAGACAAAAAAAAUGAUGCAGUUUGAAAUCUUGAAUCUUGUUGCCGAGCACGUGCCAAAUGCAGAGAAGGUACGCUUUCCAACGGCCAAAGAGAGUUGGAACGCUUGUGUCUUUGUGGGUAACUUGAACAUUGGGGCUCAUGCAAAAUCGCAUCGAUUUUGAGAUUUCCCCGCAACUUUUUGCUUCAGCAAAAAUAUUGUGCUGGACCACAUUCCUGUCACUUCGCAGUGGCUUAUUGUUGGUGCAGUUAGUAUCCCACCCUCCCAUCCCUGACUUCUGGGUGUGUGUUUAUCGAUAUCUUAUUGGUUUUCUUAUUGCCAAUAUUGGCCAUGUGGCUGUGGCAGUUACGACUGUUUUUCCUUUUUAGUUAAAAAACGUAGGGGAGGUGUGCGUCGUGGGCCAUUGUAUGCCGUGGUUACAUACAGCUUCAGAUUGUAUGGCUAGUAUAGU